AGCCGAGCUUUGCUGGGAAGGAAGUGACAGGUGUCGGCCUCUCCCCAUGCUGGAAACGGUAUUGACAGCUGCAGUGUUGCCCAAGACAGUCUCCCCUCCUUUAAAAAAAAUUAUAUUUAUUUAUUUAUUGACUAGCAACAGCCAGAAGUCAAGAGGGUGAUAGAGAGACAGAGAGACACCUGCAGCCCUGCUUCACCACUCGCAAAGCUUUCCCCCUGCAGGUGGGGACCGGGGGCUUGAACCCAGGUCCUUGAGCAUUGUAACAUGCACUCAACCAGGUGUGCCACAUCCGACCAUCUCUCCCUCCUCCUCUUCCUCUUCAUCCUCUUUCUCCUUCCUCUUCUUCCUCUCCUCCCCCCUCCUACCCAUCCGUCCUCCCCACCUCCUCCUCCUCCCGUUCUGUUCUUCCCCUUCCUCCUCCUCCUCCUUUUUUUCCUCCUCCUCCUGACAUUUCCAUCAGGCGAGUUAGGGAGCAGACAGCUGGCCCCCAAGGAUGGGCAGAGGAGGGCACUUGGCCAGCACCAGAAGCUAUCUGAUGCUCAGAGGGAUCUUUCUCCCAUGGGUGUCGGCGGGGAAAGGUCAGGCUGUGCGGCUGGCUUGGGGUUGGGCACCGCCACUCUCUGAAGAGCUCCCAGCCCUGUCCAGUGGGCCAGAGAGAGGGUCUCCCACUGGUUCAGGCAGGACACGUUCUGUCCAGCUCAGGCCACCCAGAGCCAGAGAGCCGGGGUUUUAUGUAGCACAGGAACACCCCAAGAAGCCUCCUUGACCUGGUUUUCACUCUAGGCAGAGGAGAGACAGCACAGCAUCAUCCACAGAGCUUCCUGGUGCACCCCACAGCACUCCCAUGUGGUACCAGGGCUCAGAGUCAUGGCUCCACACAUGCUAAGACAUGCGCUGUACCACUGAGCCAGACCCCGGCCCCACUAUCACUUGAAUGAUGUGGAAACUGAGGCUGUGAUUGGCGACGUGGCCUGGCCAAGGCAGGCUUCACUGUCCAGGGGCCUUGGUCACAGGGCCAGUCCCAGGGGACCCUUGAGGACAUGGAACCAGCUUGAGCUUUGCACAGGGGCAGGGGUGGGGUCCUGUUCAGCUCUGAGCCGUGGCCCUCUGCAUGGUCCUUCCCUGUCCCCCUGCCACCCGGGGGUGUGGGCGCCCUGUGACCACGAUCAGCCGGCCAGUCAGACCUCAACUUCACCAGGCCGCUUCUUCAUGUGGGAUAUGGAGGAUGUGGGGUGGUUGUGCCUUCUCAAGGCUUCAGGGCCUGACUGGUGACACAGGGCUUAGUGCAUGGGUGCUGGCAGUGGGGAUGCCUGAUUUUAGCUUUGGGGCUGAUGGGGACACCGAGUCACUCGGUCCCACAUCCAAUGACAGAACCAUAGCCUCCCCCCACACACAAAGGAGCCCAGCCUGGGGGAGUGCUGGGCACACAGGUGCAUGGGGAGAAACUGAGGCCUGAGGGGAGGAGACAGCUUUCCUCUGGGCACCCCUCAGAGAGCUGCAACCUGUGCCCUGGCCUCCGGACUCUGAGUCCAGUGCUCCGGCCGGCUUGUCAGCAAGCCACCCCCUGGUGCCAGUCCUUCUUACCCAGGUUCCUCUCCGUCUGGGUUCGAGGAGCCUGGGGCGCGGGCCUCGGUGAGGAAUGCCACUCUCCCUCUCUCGGCACGCUGAAGGUUUUGAAAGUUAAAGUAUUACUGUCGGCUUUGUUGUUGCCACUGCGACAGACAAAUUGAGAGCCAGUUGUCAAAAUGUCAGCGCCCAGCAGAUCAACAUGCAGAACGAGUCUCGGCGCGCGGCGGUGUAUAAUUAAACAAAAAAAUCCCUUUUAGAAAUCUCAGCGCGCGUUGGUCCCACUUUAUAUUUGUCUGUGUGAUUAAUAAAGGCAGCUAAUUUUCAGACUUUAAAAACAGCUAGAAAAUAGCUCCUAAUUACAUAUUAGGCUCCGCAGGAGCCCCCGCUGAGCCUCGCCGGCAUUGGUGGGCCGGGGAAUUUGGCACGGCCUUAAUUGCAUUCUGAGCAUCAUCUAAUUUUAGUUAAAUGUAAUGUAAUCAGCCGCAGAUGUCGGAAAUAAAAUAUGAAUUAUGAAUAUGAUGAAA